CCCCCCUCCCCAGGACCCUCCCGACGCCCGGGGCUCCCGGCGGCCGCACGGUCCGAGUCGACCUCAAGCUUGACCCGAGGGAAGCGGGGCCUCCGGGGAAUGCCCGGCCAGGGGUCAGGGCGGUGUCGGCCACGGGAAUGGGGGAGGGGGUGGCCGGACAGGGCCGCUUUGGUGGUCUCCUGCCCACCCCUCCUAAGCCAAGUCCCCCUCCCCUCUCCAGGGCUCAGGACCGGGGAAGCUGAGUCCCAGGACAGGUCGGGAGGCUUGGGAUGCGGCGGGGCCGCCCCAGGAGAGGCGAAGGCCGGUCCCUGAGCCAGGCUCUCGGGCAGGAGGCAAGGCCGCGAACCCUGGCCGACCCCCAGCCCGGGCUCUGAGCUGGCCCCACACUGGCGUUUUGUGGAGGAGACCCUGGAAUCCAAGGGAGACGUCAGCCGAGCCACCGGGCACAGGGGCCGAACUUCACCCGCAGAAUGCAAGCACCCAGAAGGCCGGCACUCCGCCCGAAAGGCAGGGUUCACCGCUGUGUUCCCAGAUAUCGGACAUACAGUUGGUGCUCAGUAAAUGUUUGUGGGGACGUUUAUCUCAGGAAAUCCAGAGGACCAGAACCAGGCAGGACCCGACACUGGGCCACGGCAGCUGUCUGCAGGGCAUGUACCAGAUAUAUCGCCCGUUCCGAGACGGGGCUGGGACCUGCCUUCACUCACCACUCCAGAGACGCUUGUGAUGCAGCAAGCUUGAUAAACCCUGGUCUGUUUCUGAUCAAUAGCCAUUCCCAUGCCCCUCCUUAAAAUGCCGUAUUUUUCCGUUUAUCAAAUGCAGGUUGUAAAAUGUUUCCGGACAUUACAAGGAUAGCUACUGGAAUAGCAAUGCAGCUCGCUGGCGCACGCGCAAUGCCACGGUUUCGCGGGCACGGGCCUUCUGUGGCUAUCUCUGGUUAAUACGCACAGCAGCGCGCUGAGGUGUAAUGCAAGCUGGCGUGAUCUAUUUUCCUUCUGGGGAAAUUGAGGCACCCAGCGGGCAGUGGCUUCUCAAGGUCACGUCAAUGGCAGAGCGUGGCUCUGGGAUUCAAGCCCAGACAACUGGGCUCCAGAAUCGACUAUAUUAGCCACGGUCGCUCGAGAGAAAACAUCAAGCACUUUUCGUUAGAUGUUUAAUGAAAGGGAUGUUAAAGUGGUUUUGUAGCAGGAAACAUUUUAUUCACGUAAAUACGUUUUACUGCAUUCUAAAAUCUAGCAGGAAAAGAUGUGGCCUAACUACUGUCAAGAUUUGGGUAAAUUUCGUUGGAAAUACAAGUACAUCGGACAUGGGAAAAUACUGGGGCAGAGAAUGAUCCGAUAGUCUGACAAACUAGCCUUUGCUUGAUUUUUAGAACAUACGGGAGGCCAGGUGCCAUGGCCUCCCCCCGGUUAUUCCAGCAAUUUCGGAGGCUGAGGCCAGUGGAUUACUUGAGCCCAGGAGUCCAAGACUAGCCUGGCAACAUGGCAAA